UACAGAGGGUGCAAGCGUUAAUCGGAAUUACUGGGCGUAAAGCGUGCGUAGGCGGUUCGUUAUGUCUGCUGUGAAAGCCCCGGGCUUAACCUGGGAAUGGCAGUGGAAACUGGCGGGCUUGAGUGUGGCAGAGGGGGGUGGAAUUCCGCGUGUAGCAGUGAAAUGUGUAGAGAUGCGGAGGAACACCGAUGGCGAAGGCAGCCCCCUGGGCUGACACUGACGCUGAGGCACGAAAGCGUGGGGAGCAAACAGG
rnacentral:rRNA from 1 species